ACCUCAAAAAGCAGUGUUUUGAUUAUAAAUCUAUAGAUUUAUAAACAUUUGCACUAUUUGCAGCAUAUGGGAUAUAGAACUGAUAUGGGUAAGAAAAUAAAAGGAAAGGGGGCAGAGAAAACUUUGGCGAAAACAAAAUAAACUUCCCACAAAGUUGAAAAAAGAACUGCAAGCGAUGAGAGGACCACAUUGAAAAUGUUGCUGCCCAAAUUGAAAAAGAACAAAAGAGAUUGCGAGUGGUUGAUGCUGUUAUAGACGCACCCUCUAGAAGAGUAAAUUUUAGUUUUAUACCGCAUCCAAGUAAUGAGCAACACAUUCUGUAUGGUGCUCUCAUAUUUGUUCUACUUAUUUGUGGAAGAGCGAAAUG